rnacentral:snRNA from 1 species
GUGCUCGCUUCGGUAGCACAGACACUAAAAGUGGGUGGAGGUCAGAAUGGCCCUGUGCAAGGAUGAUAUGCAACACUACAAUGUUCCAUAUAUUUAA